GGGAGGAAAUCAUGCCAGCCACAUCCCCACGGAGAGAGUCGAGGAUGGGGAAUGACGCCGCUAAAGGCAAGGGCGGAUGCUUUGGGAAGGAGCCGCAAGGUGGGAAGAAGGGAGGACCUGUAUCCUGGAUGCUUUCAGGGCUACCAAAACGAACCACACCAUCAGGCUUCCUGUUUAAAUUCUUACUCCCCUUUGGAAAAGUGUCUCUUCAGACCUGGCCCAUGUGAUUGGACUCUCCCACACUACUUCCAGAACUAUUUUAAUCCACAGGCACCAGAACCCAUCGCUUUACCAGCAGUAACAAGAACACUGCAUUGGUGUUAGAAACAGAAGUGCGCUGGAACAGUGAGAUGAAGACACUUAGCAAAUGCACGUGGGCUAAGAAGAGCUUCCAGUGUGCACUCACUUGUCCCAGGACCUGAGACAGGUGGGGGGCAGAAGCCACUCUGUGUGUGACUACAGAAAUUGCACAAAAUCCCAAUCAGCACCGGGUGGAUCCAGCACUAAAAUGGCUAUUGAUUAAUAAAAAAAAAAAAAAAAAAAAAAAAA